ensembl:antisense Gm16136 predicted gene 16136
UGAAGGUGUGUGAGAGCGCCCGAGAUGGCAGAACAAGAGCUACAGGGGCAGGGUAGAGGUGAUGGGAGAGACGGAGCGGGGAGCGCCACUACAGACACUAGGUACCGUGGGUCAAACCGAAGGACGACAGAAUGCUGAACCCAGAAAUCAACAAGCCACCCGGAACCAAAUGGCCAGUUCACCACCUGCCACUUGACACUCGCGGGACGAAAACUGUGUGGCGGGCAGAAGAGUCAGGGAACUAGAGUUACGCUAUGCUGAGUGGGAAAGGAACGGAUUGCCGGGUCUCUUGCGUAAUUGCAUUGUUAGCAUUCUUAUCCACAACAAACUCUUCUCCUGCUCUGAUGCAUAGAAGAUAGCAGGUCGUUUUCAGUUUUCAACUAGUCGAGCGACCUUUCCUGAACUGGAUCUAUGAAGUGCGGCGUGGCUUUAAUGGAGAAAGGAGAUUCGGUUGAAUAGACUCUUAAGGUGGCCCGGGCGCACCUCUUGCAUCUCUCCGCAGCCUGGGAUUCCUGCGCUGCGGAACAACUACUGCAUCUGUUCCAUAAGCCUGUCGGCGUUGACAUUUCUAGGCAAGCAUCAACAUUUACAUUGUAAUUCAAUAGAAGCAGCUACUACAAAGGCUCUUUAUCCUUGCAGUUUAAUAUGGUUGCCAGGGGAACAACGCAGGAUGAAAGUGACUUGUUUGUGUGGGUUCUCUUCUGGUCCGGAACAGUGCGAAGUAGCCAGGUGUCAUUUAUAAUCGCUGCUACGAGAAUUAAGUAUUUGUGGGAGUUCUGACAGGGAUCUAGCCCAUACAUGAGCGUGGUGGAAAUACAGGAGGGUAUGGAAAGCUUUGCCACAUUUAUGUCAAGUCAACACUGGAGCACUGGAGUUGUCAAACUUGACACAACUUCUGUAUUAAACCUUUGCAGGUCACAUGAUUUGGGGGAA